rnacentral:rRNA from 1 species
AGUCGAACGGGCUGCAGGACUUCGGUUCUGUAGUCAGUGGCGCACGGGUGCGUAACGCGUAUGCAACCUACCUUCUAUUGGGGGAUAGCCUUCCGAAAGGAAGAUUAAUACCGCAUAUUAUCAUUUGAGGGCAUCUGAAGACGAUGAAAGCUUUAUUGCGAUAGAAGAUGGGCAUGCGUGCCAUUAGCUAGUUGGUAGUGUAACGGACUACCAAGGCUACGAUGGCUAGGGGCUCUGAGAGGACGGUCCCCCACACUGGUACUGAGACACGGACCAGACUCCUACGGGAGGCAGCAGUAGGGAAUAUUGGGCAAUGGGCGAGAGCCUGACCCAGCCAUGCCGCGUGCAGGAAGAAGGCCUUCUGGGUUGUAAACUGCUUUUAUCUGGGAAGAAAACGCUCUUGCGAGAGUAACUGACGGUACCAGAUGAAUAAGCACCGGCUAACUCCGUGCCAGCAGCCGCGGUAAUACGGAGGGUGCAAGCGUUGUCCGGAUUUAUUGGGUUUAAAGGGUGCGUAGGCGGCCC